rnacentral:rRNA from 1 species
GAUGAACGCUGGCGGCGUGCCUAAUACAUGCAAGUCGAGCGAACGGACGAGAAGCUUGCUUCUCUGAUGUUAGCGGCGGACGGGUGAGUAACACGUGGAUAACCUACCUAUAAGACUGGGAUAACUUCGGGAAACCGGAGCUAAUACCGGAUAAUAUUUUGAACCGCAUGGUUCAAAAGUGAAAGAUGGUCUUGCUGUCACUUAUAGAUGGAUCCGCGCUGCAUUAGCUAGUUGGUAAGGUAACGGCUUACCAAGGCAACGAUGCGUAGCCGACCUGAGAGGGUGAUCGGCCACACUGGAACUGAGACACGGUCCAGACUCCUACGGGAGGCAGCAGUAGGGAAUCUUCCGCAAUGGGCGAAAGCCUGACGGAGCAACGCCGCGUGAGUGAUGAAGGUCUUCGGAUCGUAAAACUCUGUUAUUAGGGAAGAACAUAUGUGUAAGUAACUGUGCACAUCUUGACGGUACCUAAUCAGAAAGCCACGGCUAACUACGUG